rnacentral:piRNA from 1 species
UCAAGAUGAAUAUUAAGGUAUUAAAGAAA